AUAAUCACUUCAGCAUAAUAUAUACUAAAUAAAAUUAGACAGAGACAGGGAAGAUUAGCAUGGCCCUUACUCAAGGAUGACACACAAAAUCAUAAAGCGUUCCAUAUUAAA